GUACUCACUUUGGCAGCACAUAUACCCAAAUUGGAACAAUAUAGAGAAGACAGCAUGGCCACUGCCCGAGAAUGACAUGCAAAUUCAUCAAGCAUUAAAAAACAAA
ensembl:snRNA U6 U6 spliceosomal RNA